GACGAACGCUGGCGGCGUGCCUAACACAUGCAAGUCGAGCGUGAUCCUGUGAGAGGAGUUUUCGGACGAAUCGAGCAGGUGAAAGCGGCGAACGGGUGAGUAACGCGUGGGUAACCUACCUUAUACAGGGGGAUAACACCGGGAAACCGGUGCUAAUACCGCAUAACACAUGAAGGUGGCAUCACCUUUAUGUCAAAGGAGUAACAUCCGGUAUAAGAUGGGCCCGCGUCCAAUUAGCUAGUUGGUGAGGUAACGGCUCACCAAGGCGACGAUUGGUAGCCGAGCUGAGAGGUUGAUCGGCCACAUUGGGACUGAGACACGGCCCAGACUCCUACGGGAGGCAGCAGUGGGGAAUAUUGCACAAUGGGGGAAACCCUGAUGCAGCGACGCCGCGUGAAGGAAGAAGGUCUUCGGAUCGUAAACUUCUUUGAUUGGGGAAGAAGUAAGUGACGGUACCCAAGGAACAAGCCACGGCUAACUACGUG
rnacentral:rRNA from 1 species